AAUACCAUAUUAUUCCAGCUACGACUGAAGCAUUUACACAUCUAAAAUUAAGCUUUAAAGAUGUUUCAUUUGACAGCAGCAGGGAAGCUGCUCUCCCCUUCCAUAUCAGGAGAGCUAUGCUGUCUGUAACCUACACAACACUAAGCACCAGUGAAGCACAGCUUUAGGACCUGCUGUUCCCCACAGCAAGAUAUUUGAAGUCUGUAUCCCACAACAGACGCUCCUAGCAUAUUCAAAGUUUAAUUGCACCAGUGAAUUCAUAGAAAGGGAAGUAUUCAAAAUUAAAUAGCUAGCUAAUGAAGUAUGCUCUGUCUUACCGCUAUUAAGACAACCAAACACUUAUAUUUUUGAAAAAAAAACGAGAUCCAGAAGCAGGAAGAAAAGACAACCAUGGCAAACUGGAGAUAGUUACGACAGCUGACAGGGCACUGAAGGUCCUACUUGACUUCUGAAGGUUACCUGGAAAUUCACCAGACUCAGAGCUGGAGAAAAAAAGCUGCAAAAAUCGCAAAUAACCUAAGAAGGUUCAUCUCAGUGGACACUGCUUAAAUUUUGCCUUGAGUCUUACAGAAGAGGACACAAGAGACAAUAUAUUCCAUUUUUCUACUGGCAUCAAAAUAAAAUGUUUUUCUUGUAAAAUACAUAAAA